rnacentral:rRNA from 1 species
GACGAACGCUGGCGGCGUGCUUAACACAUGCAAGUCGAGCGAUGAAGCACCUUCGGGUGUGAAUUAGCGGCGAACGGGUGAGGAACACGUGAGAAAUCUGCCUUCAACACUGGGAUAACUCCGGGAAACCGGGGCUAAUACCGGAUAUGAAACCUGCGGGCAUCCGCGGGUUUGGAAAGUUUUAAUGCCAUAAGAUGAGCCCGCAUUUGAUUAGUUAGUUGGUGAGGUAAUGGCUCACCAAGACAAUGAUCAAUAGCUGAUCUGAGAGGAUGAUCAGCCACACUGGGACUGAGACACGGCCCAGACUCCUACGGGAGGCAGCAGUGGGGAAUCUUGCACAAUGGAGGAAACUCUGAUGCAGCGAUGCCGCGUGAGUGAAGAAGGCCUUUGGGUUGUAAAGCUCUUUUGUAGGGGAAGAUAAUGACUGUACCCUAAGAAUAAGGUCCGGCUAACUUCGUG